rnacentral:misc_RNA from 1 species
ACUUGUUGGAUGAGAUUGCUUAUGAAGCUCUGCGAUCAGAGUUAGAAGCUGGAUCUACAACAAAAAAGCUGUACAGACUUUUCUCUUCUCAUAACCCAUUUGAAAUGGCAGUGAAUGCAAAAUUAGGAAAGAUCCUUGAGCUACUUGAAUAUUUAACAAGACAGAUGAAUGCCUUGGGUCUAACUCUGAGAGAGGGCAUUGGAGAUAAACCAUCAUCGCACAAGACACCAACUACUUCACUGCCAGAUGAUGAAUCUAGUAUUUGUGGCAGGGAAUAUGACAGAAAAAAAAUCAGAGUCAUUGUUAUCUAAUAGCCAUGGCAUAGGUGUGAUCUGCGUAGUUGGUAUUGGUGGCAUGGGUAAAACUACUCUUGCUCAGCUUGUCUACAAUGACAAACAAGUAGAUCGACACUUUAAUCUCAAAGCAUGGGUCUAUGUCUCUGAAGAAUUCAAUGUCUUUAAGAUAACAACCGAAAUUCGUAGCAAGGUGUCUUCAGAGGAUUGUAAGGCUAACAAUUUAAGUGAGCUUCAACAAGAGCUAAAGCAAAAAUUGGAGGGAAAAAAGUAUUUGCUCGUCUUGGAUGAUGUCUGGAGUGAUAAGUAUGCUGAAUGGGAAAGUUUAUUGAAACCUUUGAAGGCAGGGGCACAAGGAAGUAAGAUUGUUGUUACAACUCGCAUCGAAAGCAUAGCAUCAGCUAUGGAAAAUAACCAGAUGCUCAUUGAUCUAAUUCAUCCUUUGGAGAAAUUAAGUGAUGAUGAUUGCUGGUCCAUGCUUGCAACAUAUGCAUUUCAUGAUGAAAUUUCCAAUUCAUCAUUUGAAGCUGUUGGUAAGGAAAUAGCCAAAAAGUGCGGAGGUCUACCAUUAGCUCUGAAAACAAUAGGGAGUCUCCUCCGAUCCAAAAAAAAGGUUAAGGAAUGGGAGAAGAUAUCACAGAGCAAUAUGUGGAAUUUGUUGAGCGACAACAUUGUUCCAGCUUUAAAACUGAGUUAUCAUUAUCUCCCUUCGCAUCUAAAGCAAUGUUUUGCUUAUUGCGCAGUGUUUCCAAAGGGUUAUGAAUUCUACAAAAAGGAUUUGAUUCCUUUAUGGAUGGCUGAGGGUUUCAUAAUGGAAGCCAAAGAAGGCGAUGAUAAUGAAGAUGUGGGUGACGCAUACUUAAAAGAUCUUGUGUCAAGAUCUUUCUUUCAGCUGUCUAGCGGCUCUCAAAAUUGCUUUGUUAUGCAUGACCACAUGCAUGACUUAGCCAAAUCCAUAUCUGGAGAAUUCUGCUUUAUGUUGGAUAAAAAUUCAUCUGAUAAGGUUCCAACAAAGACUCGUUAUUUAUAUACUCAUCAUGGAGAUGUUGUUUUUUCAUAUGUUUAUGAUGGAGAUCGUGGUUAUUACAAGUGUAUCAUUGAGAAAGUCAACGAAAGCCAAGUUUUACGCACCUUCUUUUCCGAUGAAUACUUCUACCGAAAUUGGAGGGUCAUGCCUGCUUUAUUGCCAAAACUCAAACAAUUACGAGUAUUGGUUUUGUAUCAUUAUCGCAAGAGAAAGUUACCAAAUUCAAUUGGCAAUUUGAAGCAUUUGCGAUAUUUGAAUCUCCGCAGAGCAUCAAUCAUAAAGCUACCUCAAUCUGUGAGUAGUUUGUAUAAUCUGCAAACUUUAAUUUUACGUGAUUGUAAAGUUCUCGUUGAGCUGCCUACCAAUUUGGCAAGGUUAAUCAACUUGUGUUGUCUCGACCUCAGAGGAACAAAAUUGCAAAGAAUGCCACCGCAAAUGGGUAAUCUAGUGAAGCUCCGAACGUUGACUAAUUUCAGUUUGGGAAAAUGGUGCGGGUCAGGAAUCAAGGAGUUGGGAAAGCUUAAACAUAUACAUGGAGAGCUUAGCAUUGAGAAUUUGCAAAAUUUUAACCCUAAACAUGUUUGGGAAUCCAAAUUGUGGAAUAAAGAGCAGCUGAAGACACUGGAGUUCAAAUGGAGGGGUAAAAGCAAGGAUGCAAAACAUGCAGAAAAGACGCUUGAGGAAUUAUGGCCUUUGUACAAAGUGGAAAAUCUUUACAUAGUGGGUUAUGACGGUACAAGAUUUCCAUACUGGGUAGGUUCCUCUUCAUCAUCCUUGUCAAAUUUAGUAUGCUUGAAGCUCAGUGAAUGCAACAACUGCUCAUGUUUGCCUCCUCUUGGGCAAUUAGCAUCUCUGAAGGACCUCUCAAUCACAGGAUUUGCAAAGCUUGUGUCCGUGGGUUUUGAGUUCUAUGGAAGUUGCCGUCCCCCAAUGAAGCCAUUUGGAUCCCUCAUAAUUUUGAGGUUUGAAGGGAUAGGACAGUGGGAGGAGUGGGAAAUUGAAGAUGGAGCUUUCCCACUCUUAGAAGAGCUUUAUGUAAAACGUUGUCCCAGACUUAUAAAGGCACUGCCCAAUAAUCUUUCUUGUUUAAAGAAGCUUCAAGUUGUGGGAUGUAAAAAGCAGCUUGUGCCUUCACUUCGAGUGCCUCCUACCAUUCUUGAAAUGAUGUUAAAGGAUGAUUCUCGUGAUGUGGUGUUGAAGAAAUUUCCUUCUGGGCUUUACUUUAGAAGAAAUCAAAUUGUCUUGGUGUGCAAUUGAGCGGUUCCCGUUGGAGAUUUUCCCUAAUCUAAAGAGAAUUGAUAUCUUCCGGUGUAAAAAUUUAAAAUCCCUCUCUGAAACUGAGGAAAUUCAAGAAGAAAGCAGUUCCUGUCCUGAUUUGACCGAGCUUUUGUUGGACGGUUGCUCAAAUUUGAAGUCGCUGCCUGAACAUUUAGGCUCUCAUCCUUCCCUUGUGAAAUUGGAAAUUGAUUACUGUGGAGAACUUGAGUUAUUUCCAAAAGGUGGUUUGCCAUCGAAAUUAGAAUCCCUUGCCAUCGUUGAUUGUGGAAAACUCAAAAUAAAAGUCAUUGAUGGCAUCGACAAUAAUUACGAAGGAGAUGAGGAAACGCUGCUGCUGCUGCCCUCCACUCUCACCUGUCUUGGAAUCACUGGUCUUCGAAGUCUGGAAUCUCUCAACUACAAGGGACUUGUACACCUAAGAGAGUUAAUCAUCCGCAGCUGCCGUAACCUCCAGUCCAUUCCAGAUUGCAUGCAAGACCUCCCUUUACUCGUGAAAUUGGAAAUAAGUGGUUGCCCAAAACUGAAUCCGUUUCUAGAAGGAGGUUUGCCCUCUCAAUUAAAAUCACUUAACAUCAACGGCUGCCAUGGAGCCAUUGCUGGGCUCAUGAAACGCGAUUUCCGGACAAUGCCAGACAAUGAAGUGGAAUCCAUACCAGAAGAGACGCUGCUGCCCUCCUCUCUUACCCAUCUUGAAAUCUGGCAUCUUAACAAUGUCAAGUAUCUAGAGCUUCACCACCUCACUUCUCUAAAUGAAUUGAGUAUUGUUAAUUGCCCUAAUCUCCGGUGCAUAGCAAAAGAGAGGUUGUCUUCCUCCCUUUCUUCUCUUCGUAUCGGAUUUGGUUGUCCUCUGCUAAGUCAACGGUGUAAACAGAAGGUGGGGGAAGACUGGCCCAACAUAUCUCAUGUCCCCGGUAUUUAUAUUCGUCAGAUCAGGAAACCGAAAAGAUUUUGUAGACAAAGGAAAUUUAUCACGUGAACCAAUGAACUUGAGUUCCUCAUCAGAAAGCUGGACAUAAACAGCUUUAUCACUUUAACAAGUUUGUUAUAACAAGUGGAAGAGGAAGCAUCAAUUGAGCAUAAAACAAAAGAAUGAAGAUAGUUUCGAGUCUAGAAGAAAAUGCCCACUGAAGCUUGGACAGGCUACCGUGUCUGUUAUUCCUUGUGACUGCACAUCAGGAAGAUACUAUCAUAUAUUUUGUUAUCGUCGAGUUUCAGUGUGCCUUGUAAUAAAAUUAUGGCACACAAAUAAUUGCUUUUCUCCCAUGUUUGAUUUGCAAACACUAUCAUUGGAUUGUCAAGUCCUCCAUGUAAAUCCUUAUUUGCGUGGAUGUAAUCAUUGCUUAUGUACCAAUUGAUACUGAAGCUGCUUCAGCGAAUACAAGUAUUCAACCUUGUAAUCCCAUUCCCAGCCCAAAAUAGUUUACUGAAAUACAAUUAAAGCUCUCCCA